rnacentral:pre_miRNA from 1 species
AGUGGGAUAGCUGGGUCAAAUGGUGGUUCCAUUCCAUUUUCCAAGGAAUCUCCAUACUGCUUUCAGAUUGGCUGCACCAAUUUUCAGUCUCACCAGCAAU